rnacentral:rRNA from 1 species
UACGUAGGGUGCAAGCGUUGUCCGGAAUUACUGGGCGUAAAGAGUUCGUAGGCGGUUUGUCGCGUCGUUUGUGAAAACCAGCAGCUCAACUGCUGGCUUGCAGGCGAUACGGGCAGACUUGAGUACUGCAGGGGAGACUGGAAUUCCUGGUGUAGCGGUGAAAUGCGCAGAUAUCAGGAGGAACACCGGUGGCGAAGGCGGGUCUCUGGGCAGUAACUGACGCUGAGGAACGAAAGCGUGGGUAGCGAACAGGAUUAGAUACCCGUGUAGUCC